rnacentral:rRNA from 1 species
CCUACGGGAGGCAGCAGUGGGGAAUAUUGGGCAAUGGGCGAAAGCCUGACCCAGCAACGCCGCGUGAAGGAAGAAGGCUUUCGGGUUGUAAACUUCUUUUGACAGGGAAGAGCAGAAGACGGUACCUGUCGAAUAAGCCACGGCUAACUACGUGCCAGCAGCCGCGGUAAUACGUAGGUGGCAAGCGUUGUCCGGAUGUACUGGGUGGAAAGGGCGUGUAGCCGGGCUGACAAGUCAGAUGUGAAAUCCGGGGGCUCAACCCCCGAACUGCAUUUGAAACUGUUGGUCUUGAGUAUCGGAGAGGCAGGCGGAAUUCCUAGUGUAGCGGUGAAAUGCGUAGAUAUUAGGAGGAACACCAGUGGCGAAGGCGGCCUGCUGGACGACAACUGACGGUGAGGCGCGAAAGCGUGGGGAGCAAACAGGAUUAGAUACCCCAGUAGUC